AACGCAUAUUGCGCCCUCUGGUAUUCCGGUGGGCAUGCCUGUUCGAGCGUCCUUGAACACCCCUCAAGCUCUGCUUGGUGUUGGGCGCCCGUCGCUGCUAGCGACGCGCCCGAAAUGAAACUUGGCUGCGGGUUCCAACUCCGAGCGCUGCGAGGCGUACCAACGUCAUGCGCUGUGGAGGCGGGAUCCGGCCGGCCAGCAAACAACAAAGCGUGCCGCUCGCGGCCGCUCCUCGUUUGACCUCGGAUCAGGUAGGGUUACCCGCUGAACUUAA
rnacentral:misc_RNA from 1 species